CAAGCUCCCUCGCUUCGCAGAGCCUCUCCUUCCCCCGCCCCUUCUCCGGCUCGCCUCACCCGGGCGCUACCGCUCCAGCCGGGAUCCGCUGGCUUUGAUUGGCAGAGGCGGCGGCCCCAAUGGAUGGCGGAGAAGACAAAGUGAUGGCUGCAAGUCGCCUGAGGUCCCACCCCGGCCACGUGCGGCUUCUGUGAUGACAGCAGGAGAGAUCGACGCUUUCCGGUUACCCGCAGAUGGCAGCAAAGGACCUUUGCAGAACUGAAUGAGGCUGGGCUCAGGACCAAUCUCAGGCUUCUCCGAGGAAAGUUCGGUUGCAAACUGAAAGUUACCAGGUCUUUUAAUUCUCAGAUUCAUUAGGUCUCUGACUUUCUGUAAGUAAUUUGCUUAAGCUGGUUUGUUGUGAGCUAUAUUCACACACCAUGCCAGUGGUGUGCAAGGGACAAAAAUGAAAGAAAGAGAAAGCACUUUUUCUGCCCUUAAAGAGCUUAUCGUUUAGAUAGUCAACAAAUAUCUGUAUACUCCUAGAGAGAGUAAGGUUGGAAUGGUUUCAUGUAUUAGAAAAAGCAUUGGAUUUGAAGUCAUCUGGGUUGGUCUACACUUACUAGCGGUAUCAAUUUGGGUAAGUUACUUGACUUUUUAAAAAAUAAACAUAAUUUUGGAGCAGUUUUAGAUUUGCAGAAAAAUUGGGACGGUAGUACUGAAUUCCCAUAUACCCCACACCCAGUUUCCCCUAUUAUUAACAUUUUACAAUUAAUGUAAUAUUUUACAUGUAUUACAUUAAUGUAAUACAUUAAUGCUAUAUUAAUUAUAAACAAUUAGUGAACAAGUAUGAUGAACUGUAAACAAUUAAUAAACCAAUAUUGAUACAUUAUCAUUAACUAAAGUCCUUACUUUAUUCUACUUUAUUCAGGUUUCCUUAGUGGUUACCUCAUGUCCUUUUUCUUUUCCAGGAUCCCAUCGAGGAUAACACAUCACCUUUAGUCUGUGUGUCUCCUUCCUCUUGGCUGUGACAGUUUCUCAGAUUUCUUUUUUUUUGAUGAUCUUGAUAGUUUUUUGAGGAGUACUGAUUGGGUAUUUUGUAGAACGUCCUUCAGUUGGGAUUUGACUGAUAUUUUUCUCAUGACUAGACUGGGGUUAUAUGUUUUGAGGAUGAAGACCACGGAGAUAAAGUACCAUUUCAUCACAUCAUGUCAAGGAAUGAAAUUCAGACACACAGAGAGAGAAGCCAUGGAGAGUAGCUGGAAACUGGAAGUCAAUGGAAUCUGCACAGAAAGGAGAAUGUGCUGCCAUGUGACCAGAAAACAUUGUCAUGUGACCAGAAUGCCACAGUAUUUGGGGAGAAAGCAUCACCUUGCUGAGUCCUCGAUUUUGGACUUCUCCUAGACUCAAAACCAUAAACCAAUAAAUUUCUGUUGUUUAAGCCAACCCAUUGUAUGUUAUCUGUUUUUUUAGCACCUAGGAAACUAAAACAGUCCCCAAGUCAUAGUCAUUCUUGAUUGUUUAAAUGGCUAGUGAACACAUUGCAGCUGCUGUUUC